rnacentral:lncRNA from 1 species
AGUGUGGGAAUCUAGAGAUGGGUAAGACUAUGCACUUGUUUUUAAGGAGGUUGAUCUAAUAGAAAAUGAAAGCAGCAUAAAGACCAGAAUAUAUUACAGAACAAACAAGUGAUACCAAGAUAUUGAUUCCAACGAGAAUAUGAGGAUAGAAUAGUGCGUGAACAUUUUGAGCAAGGUACGGAGGACUUUAACAGAAGAGGAUGAAGAGAACAAGAAUAUUUAGGUGGGGACAUGAUUCAAAGAUACUCAGGUGGUAAAAUGAAGAAUUGUUUAUGCUCCAGGAUGUGGUUCACCGAGGCUACUUGGUUGGAGGGGAUGAGGCAGCACGUAAUAGGAAGGUAAGCAGCUUUUUGUGUGGCUUUUAGGUUUCCUGAGUUCCAGUUUAUAUCUAUAAAACGGGUUUAAUAGCAUCCACCUAUCUCAUAAAGUUAAUCUACAUAAAUUUCUUAGAUUAAAUGUUAAACAGGUGAAUUUCCAUUUACUCUAAGAGCUAUGGCUUGAUUUCUCAUUUUUGUCAGAUGAUUGACUUCAAAGCUACAAAAAAGGAGUUCCCAUUGUGGCUCAGUGGUAAUGAGGAUGUGCGUUCGAUCCCUGGCCUCACUCGGUGGGUGGGUUAAGGAUCCAGCAUUGUGUGAGCUGUGGUGUAGGUCACAGAUGCAGCUCCAAUUUGACCCCUAGCCUGGGAGCUUGCAUAUGCCACAGGUGCAGCCCUAAAAGGACAAAAGCAAACAAACAAAACAAAAAAAACUACAAAGAUAUUCCACCAACAAUUAUUUUCCUAAAAAUCUUAUUUGCCUUAGAGAAUUCUUGACGAAAGAUUGGUUUCUGAAAUACCUAGUCGAGCCAUUAUUACAGCACAUAAUACAACAAUAUAAUAAAUAGAAUAAGUAGAGUCAUGAGUUGCUAAAAUUUAAAACUCCAGAUUAAAAUGAGGUUGUAUUAGAGUUCAAACUGCCCUUUCAGGUUGAAAAUCUGUAGUAAAGAGAGUCUUAAAAUCAAUGGAAUUUCACAAUGCUUGAGGAAAUAAUUAGUUUAAAUAUCAGUAUAGGAUUUAAAUUAAAUUAUUUGACAUAGGCAAAAAGACAAAAAAGAAGAUAAACAGCAUUAAAAAAUUAUUUGACAAAAAAUAUUGAAAAUUAAACCAGGAGUUAUGAUGUUCCAGAAUAUGAAUAUUUAUGGUUUGGGGGGAAAACUUCCUUUGCUGAAAGACUUGUUUGGUGACCCCAGCUAACUUCUUAAAUAUCACUUUAAUUUACUGGAUGUCAGGGACUGUUGUGUGUACGUUUAUUAAUCCUCACGACAAUAGAAUAAGUAGUGAAGUCCUCAUCUUACAGGUGAGGAAUCUCAAUCAUGUCUCCAAGUUCAUAUAUCUAACCAGUGGUGGAGCUGUUGUUUCCAAAACUUACUAGUUUUAGUCUUGGUCUAAAAGCACAUUCACAAAGGGGAGUUGAAAGGACUUUUCUUCAGAACACUAGGACACAGAGCUGUCUUUGUAUGAUUUAAUGAAGUUUCUGACUUCAUCUUCUUGAGUCCUCAGAGAUUAGUCAGGACUUCCUUGAGAAAGAGACACUAAGGAAGGGAGCUUACAAAUAGUAAAAUCUGGACACCUCUGGGCAAGUACAUAAUUUAGAAAGAAUUCCACUUGAUUCAGCUUCUUUCCCAGGGAGCUUGAGGAAGCACUGAGCUUGUGCACAUAAUCGUGUGAGGAAGGGCAAUGCCAAGUUUAAGUAUUUUCCAAAGAGGUUAUUUGGUUUCUGAACAGCCAUGUUUCUUUUUCUUCCUCCAACCAAUAUAAGACUUGAAGACAAAAUAGUACCUUACAUCAACCUCUGUAGCAAAGUAAGCAUUUAUCACAUGUAAUGCAGUUCUUACUGUUUUUAAAUCUCUACUGUUUUUGGUAGAUCUUGGUGGUUCACUUGUUUAUUUAAUAUAUGUUGAAUAUCUGCUAAUGCUGGUCUUGUAGUAGGAGAUGUGAAAACUCUAUAAAUACAAUAGAGUCUCUCACUUCAAAGAGUUUGCAGCCUAAUGUAGAAUAUGGACAAUUAGUUAUAAUAAAUUAAUACACAUGCACCACAGUGAUGAAUGUUAUAAUGCAGAAAAUGACAAGAAGCUCGGGGAGCAAACAAGCAGGACCUCUGAUGCAGUUUUGAUGAAUGGGGUUGUCUGAAGAAACAACUACAAAAUUGUAACCAAGUGUUAGUGAUGAGUAGGAGCAAGACCAAUGGGGUGGGGAGAAGGGGUGACUGCUUUGUUAAUGGAAGGGAAGCAGGUAGAAGAUAAUGAGAUGUAAGAGAACACAUCCAACUGGAUUCCUGAAAUUGUUGAGUAUUAUAUGAAAAAUACGUAUAGAAGUGAGGAGAGGAAAAGUUGGAGCCAGAAAUGUAAGCAAAACCUGAAUUUUAAAGAAAAUUCCCAGUCUCUUUGUUUCAAUAAUGUUGGUUUGUUCAGUAAAUGCCUGGUGUGGGAGAACUACAUUUUUUUUUUAAGUUUACCAAUCAAAAAGUAAAGAUGUAUUAAGACAACAAAUUGCUUAAAGCUUACAUCUAGCUGAUUGUUUUCCUUCUAAUUAUAGAGCUUUUUUCUUUAUGCCUAAAUAUUCAAAUUCACUUUUGUGUGUUUAAAAAAUACUAUUGAUAUACACAGAGGAUUGAGUAUUGUUUCCAAGUUCUAUCUCCCAAUCAAUGAAGAUUUGGGGUUGGAGUUUAAAGGACGGGAUUGGAGGAAAAGGCUGGUUUUGGAACAGGCAUUUAUUAUGGACUUGGUGCUGAAGAUCAGCCUGUCCUCAAUGUGAAAAAAAAAUUCAACGUGAUUGGCUACUUAGAGUCAUUUCUUUUUUAGAUUUAUGAUACAAAGUUUUAGAGACUGUUUACUCCAAUUUUACAAUAAAAUAUAUAUCUUUGAAAUAACAACAAUUAUAUGUUAUUUGGCACUAGGAAUCUUUUCGUGCGAAGAUCAUAGGAAAUGAAAUCAUUUGGCAGAAAGGGAAGUUGCUAUGUUAGAAAUGACUAGACAUACAUGUGUUUAAUUAUAUCUUGAAGUAAUCAAGACCCACACAAGCAGAUGAGUCAAGUGGCAGGAGGGGGAAAAAAAGGUUUUAAAAGUGUUAAUUCAAGGCUGUACAAUUUUAUAAGGUUAUUUUUCCUCUUUUCUUAAAAGUUUCUUUUUUUUUUUGGAUCUUUUGGGUUUAUAGGCAUGUGAUACUUUAAAAAGCUGAGUUGAGACGAAGUUCUCAGAAAUUCGAAGAAAGGAUCAUGAAAGCAUUUAAAAUAUGCUUUGAUUGGAAUCCAAACUUCACGCCGGAUUCUGUUAAAGAGUGCUCAGCCCAUCCGUGUGAUUAUUGAUAUAUGCUUCACUCGCUGGAUUGGAAAUUCCACAAGGCUCGGGAGUGUUCAGAAGACCACAAAGCAUUUCCAGGGGCCAGGGAGUGAACUUGGAUGGUGUCCUACAGAUUUCAUCGAAUUAACCUUUUAAGGUUAAUUUAUGUGCCAAGACUCAAAAGAGUAGCUUCCCUGGUAGGUAUCACCUCAUUGGUUCUUAACCUUUUUAAUUUAACCACUUACUCUUUUGAAAAUAUGAUGAAAGCUAUAUGCACUCUCCUCACCCUUAAACCCACCUAAGCCUAAAUGUAUAGAGUUGUGCAUCAAGUUUCAGGAAUUUAUGAGGUCCGUUAGAUACUCUGGAGGGGUAAAAUCAGUAAAGGGUAUAUUGGAGGUAGAACACUGGAGAACAACGAGUGGAUCCUGAGUUUACUGCCUUCAAGUUAACCGAAAGAAAAAUGAUGUUUUUCUGAAUGCUGCCUGUUGUCCCUGCAUUUGUCCAGCACAGAAACGUCAAAGAAAAGUUCCUGACAUUCUCAAAAAGAGAUGGAUAAGGAAAAGAAUGAGCAGGAGGGAGAGAAUCUUCAUAUUCAGUGAGGUCAAGAUAUGAAUGACCUUUAGAGUUCUUAUUUUCCACAAGAGUAAAGCCCCAAUCCAUCCAAAAUGAUGAAAAGUGAGUUCUGCUUUCAACUGGCACCGUCUCCUUAGCUAAUUUGCUGAAAGGUAGUGUGGGUGGGAAAAGGCAGCUGAGAGAGAGGGUUACGUUUCGUCCUUUCAUAAUUCCCUUCGGCUCACCAGGUAAAUGUAUACUUCAAGAAAAAUCUAUGUGAUGUUUUCACAUAAAAAGAAAACACAGUUGGAAAGUAAUUCAGAUUGUGUAUGGAUUUAGAGAUGUGGACCAGUAUUUCAGAGUUCCCCAAAUUUAUGUAAAAUAAGGCUAUAAAACUUGUUUAUCUAUCUCUCCUUCAACUGAUACCCUGUGCUAUCCGACUUCCAAAUUUGAGGCCCUUUUGUCUCUCGGUAGUUUAUUCUGCCAUCUAGUAUAAUUUACUAUUAACAUCUAGAAGUGUGCUUCUCCUUGACUAUAUUGUGUUAUGAAUCAAAAUGAAAUCCCUCCUUGUGGUCGCUAAACCAGGAAGGAGGAAAUCACCACCCAUGGAAUCUAGCAGAGUUUUGAAACAAAGGAAAAGUUGUGGACUUCAAGCCAGUUGGAUGAACUUUUCAUGCACUUCCCUUUCCCUAACAGCGGGGCAGGGAUGCGGGGGGUGGGGAGGGGUGGGAAAUACCACUAGCAUCACCUCCUACAAAGUUGAGGAUUACAGCAAAAUAGGCAGCCGAGAGGAGCAAUAGAUAAGAAAUAACACACCCAGCCAGAAAAGCAGGACUUUGAAAAAACACAUGAAAGAGACCCAAAGAGAAACGAAGCAGGUAUUGGAGAAGCAAGGUUGUGGAGGAGAAUUAAAACGGCACAUUUCUCUUCUGAGCUUGAUUUAGACUUUGGCAGUGCAUGCAGAGAGCCCUCACUCAAGAAUUAUUGUGCUAACAGGACUUUGUUACUUGGCACAUUGUAGGCUUUAUGUUUUGCUAAUAGUCACAACCACCCUAUAUUUUUAUCUUUUAUUCUCAUUUAACUGAUGAGGAAACCGGCUCAGAGAGAGUUAAGCACCUUGCAGAGGGUCACCGCAAGUAGGAGAACAGAAUUAGGAUUUGAACCUAAACAAGACGUCCAGAGACUUUGUGCCACGCCAAGGAAGUUUCUCUCAUGUGCCCAUAGGUCUCAGACUUGGUUUUCAGCACAUUUUCCUUCUUUCUCCUACACUCUCCUGCCUGAGAGGAUUUGGAAGACUGGAGAAGAGGAACUGGAGUCCAUGAGGGGAAAGGGCACCAUAACCCAACAGAAGAACAAGGCUCACCUCCUGUCCAGGCCUCCGGUUUUCAUUUGUACAACGAAGGAAUUUGCUUGUACGGUUCCUACUGCCUGCUGAUUUAGUCUAAGAAGCACGGCAUAUGUAUAACAGAUGGAGAACUUUCCCUGGGAAAUUUGACCACUUGAGUCAGAGGAGAAAAUGCGCCCAAACCCGAAAUUCCACAAAACUUGGAGAAUAUUUGCACUUGCCCUUGAAUGUAGUUAACUCAAAAGUAUCCCUUGCAAGGUUCUCAUCAACUGAGCGAAGUGCCUUCAUUUUGCUGGGUUUAGUGAAGAAUGAGUCUAGAAAGAGGCCAUGGGGAUAGUGUGUUUUACAACCAGACCCCUAUCCCCCCAUCUUCCAAGGAUGAGCGGAAAUUGUUCCUUUCUGUCCUCUCUCCUGAUGCCGUUUUCUCUCACCUGGUUUCCUCAUGACUCUUAGCUAAGUCCCAGCUAGUGACUCUUUAUUGUGACACAGGUAACACAGUUGGAGUUGGUGAAAAUUUUUGAAAGAACUAAAGCCCAUCUGAUUUGUUGAAAAACAAAAAUAUCCAACAAUGAGGUGAAGAGACCUCAUUUCCCCAUUAUUCAUCCAUUUAAUAUUUCCCGAGUACCUUCUGUGUUUCAAACAUUUUUCUAGUUGUUUGGGAAAUGUUAGUGAAUAAUGUGGAUCGAAAUGGCUACCCUUGCUUUAGGUGUGUAAAUGUUAUGGGAAGAGUGGAUCAGGGUGUGAGGGGCGAGCAGAUUACAGCACUGGGAAGUAUAGGGAAGCCUCCUUGGGAAGUUGAGAUUGGGCUAGGAAUUGAAGGAUCUAGGAAUUGGCUAAGUGGCUAUGUGGGAGAAUAAUCUAGGCAAAGGGACAGCUAGAAGUGACGGUUUGAGUUGGGAGCUUGGUCAUACACUUGAGGAACAGUAAGGAAGCCAGCAUGGCUGGUGCAAGGAGAGAAAAUAAUGGGCGGGAAAGGAAGACAAAGAGAAAGGGGCCAGAUUGGACCUUUGUAGGUUCUUAUAAGGAUUUCAGCUUUUAUUCUGCAUGGAGAGCCAUUGGAGGGUCUGAGCAAAUCAGUAACACCACCUGACACUCCAGCUGCUGGGUACAGGUAGGGUGGCAUUGGGGCAAGAGUUUGUAGGGAGAGCAAAGGAAAUCAAGACAACCAGUUAGAGUUUAUUGUGGAAGGUCGGGGGAGAGUGAUAAUGGCUUACACCAGGCCAGAGUGGUAACAGCAAGUGGUGGUAACCAGGAGUCAGAUUCCGGAUAAUUCAAACAGCACAAAAUCCUGGGAGAUUGGGGAUGAGAUGUGAGGAAGAGAAAAACCAUUGAUCAAGAAGACAUUAAAUGUAAGCUACUAGAAGGAUGGAGUCUCCAUCAACUUAGACACUUGAGAAAGUAUGUAAACUAAUGUGGAAGGAUUAUUUGGGUUUGGGGAAAUGUUUGCUUAAUGGAAGUCUUCCAAAUGCAUCCUGAGUGGAGCUCCUCAAUUACACCCAUAGUUGCAUUAAGUGGUGGCCAUGACUGGUAGAGCAAAGGAGACUGAGGCAGAAAGGAGGUGAAUGAGGAGUGAGGGAUAGAGUAACAUUUAUUGUGUUCCAGUCACUGUAUGAGGCCUUUUUUUUUUUUUUUUUUUUGGUCUUUUUAAGGCCACACCUGUGGCAUAUGGAAGUUCCCAGGCUAGGGGCCAAAUCGGAGCUACAGCUGCCAGCCUACACCACAGCUCAUGGCAACACUGGAUCCCUAACCCACUGAACAGGGCCAGGGAUCAAACCCACAUCUUCAUGGGUACUAGUCAGAUUCGUUACCACUGAGCCGUGAUGGGAACUCCUGGCCUCUUUUUUUACAAGAAAAAUUAUUUAGGUUUAAAGUGUACAAUGUGAGUAUGAAAUAAUGCCAUUUGCAGCAACAUGGAUGAACAUAGAAGUCAUCUCACUAAGUGAAAUAAGACAGAGUAAGACAAAUACUCUUAGAUAUAUGAGACACUAAUAUGUCCAGUCUAAUAAUGAUGACACAGUAGAACUUGCAAAACAAAAACAGACUCAAAGGUUUUGAAACCAAACUCAUGUUUACCAAAGAGGAAAUGAGGGGAGGGGAAGGGUAAUUUAGGGGCUUGGGAUUGAUGUAUAUACAUUGCUAUAUAAGAAAUAAAUGGGUAACUAGGACCUACUCUAUAGCACAGGGAAACUUACUCAAUGCUGUAUAAUAACUUAUAUGGGAAAAGAAUCUGAAAAGGAAUGGAAGGAAUGGAUAUAUGCAGACAUAUAAUUGAUGUACUUUGCUGUAGGCCUUAAAUUAACACAACUUUGUAAGUGAACUAUAUGCCAAUAAAAUAAAAUAAAAAUU